UGUCAAGGUGUUUGUGAUACAUUGCAAUUCAUUUUCUUAAAAUUAGCCAUAUUUAAAGUCUGCUUACAUCAGAAUGAUUUAAAAAGCAUAUUCAGUUUUAUCCUCUCAUCUUUUUCAGUCAUCGAGAGAUUUUGCUUGCCACCAGAUGCAAAAGUUAUAUACAAGGAUGCAAUGGGGACCAAAGUUGAUGCAGAAAUAUUCAGUGACCUCAUUGGUCAAGGCAAUGUGGUGCUGAAAGUUUUCACAAAUGAUGAAUUUUAAAGGUGGAGCAAGAUUUUACUCUCCUGUUUGAUGAAGAGACAUCUUCCCGGCUGCUUCAAAAGUGGGACACAUUCUUCAGGCACAAAUGUCAUAAAAGAGGCCAAGCGCCUUACAUCAACAGCAGAGUUGAUCUUUACGAGACAAGAAGUCUCUACGACCAGGAAACGCUGCAGUUUGGAGGAGCAUCUCAACAACAACCAAUGCCAGCAUCGGUACCUCCUUGCUGUUGGGCGUCAGAAAAGCAAGAAUUACAACUUCUACAUCACCUUGGAUAAGCAUCUCAUCCCAUGCCAGGCAAACCGCUCCCUUGGGGCUUUUGACGAACUUCUCAAGGCUCAUUUUGUAUUUAACUUGUCUUAUUACAGAGCUGGACUUAUUUGCAGUGCAAUUGAAAAUGAAAUGCCAGUCUUUUUGUCAAAUAAGUGAUGUACUUUUGGUUGACAAUCACAUUUAUCUACUGGCAAACAAGCUAUUUACAGAGAAUUUUCAUUAGCACUUUCAUGCAUUCAGAGUGAAAGGUGUAUCUUACAAAUGUCUGAGAUCAAAUUUGAUAAACCAUUUGAUAUUCAAACUUCAUACAGUGUUGCAGAUGAAAGUUUGUA